GGAAUUUCCGGCAGGCAGACUGUAAAUCUGCCCGUGCAAGCGUACGCUGGUUCGAAUCCAGCCCUGUCCACCA
rnacentral:tRNA from 1 species